GUGGGCUGUAUUUUGCCGAC
rnacentral:miRNA from 1 species